GCUGAGAGGUGGGUGUGCCCGAAAGGGAGCGGCAACACAGGUGCUGCAUGGCUGUCGUCAGCUCGUGUCGUGAGAUGUUGGGUUAAGUUCCGCAACGAGCGCAACCCUUGUCAUUAAUUGCUACGCAAGGGCACUCUAGUGAGACUGCCGGUGACAAACCGGAGGAAGGUGGGGAUGACGUCAAGUCCUCAUGGCCCUUAUGGGUAGGGCUUCACACGUCAUACAAUGGCGCAUACAAAGGGCUGCCAACCCGCGAGGGGGAGCCAAUCCCAGAAAGUGCGUCGUAGUCCGGAUUGCAGUCUGCAACUCGACUGCAUGAAGUCGGAAUCGCUAGUAAUCGCGGAUCAGCAAUGCCGCGGUGAAUACGUUCCCGGGUCUUGUACACACCGCCCGUCACACCAUGGGAGUGGGUUUCACCAGAAGCCGGUUGCCUAACCGCGAGGGAGGCGCCGACCACGGUGAGAUUCAUGACUGGGGUGAAGUCGUAACAAGGUAGCCGU
rnacentral:rRNA from 1 species